GGUACAAGGAAAAGCCACCAGGGGCUGUUGUGGCCCUGAGCCAGGAGGAAGAAAGUUCAAAGAAUCCUAGCAGCAGGGAGUCAGGCAGAUUCUGGAUGACCUGAAGGGUCCUUGGAUAGACAGACAUUCUACAGAAGUUGUGAGACUAUUCUCUUCCCAUUCGACCUUGCUUCAUUCUCCCGGCAAUUUGCUCCACGCUAGAAAUCUGUUACGUUUCUUGGAGGCACAGAAAGAACUGCCUAACUGAAAACCAGCGCCGCUAAAACCCUUCCAGGGCACACAGUUCACCUGACUCCCAGCCUCCCUUGCGGCUGCGCGCUACCACGUGACUUAGGAAGGCCAAUGGAAGUACGCCUACAGCGCCACCUCCUGGCGUGGACGGAGCUCACUGCAGGCGUGCGGUCCUCCCUGCUCUCUGCCCCCGUGUGUCCGAGGAAUGUGGGGAGAUGGGCAGAGGACUCUGAAGCCCCGGAGCCUGGGGAAGCCACAGAUGAAGGGGUGUGGGCCCCCCGGGGCUUUAUGCCAACUUAGGGGACAGUGAACUGUCCCAGGAAUAAGAAAUAAACCUCAACUGUACUGAGUCAGUGA